rnacentral:lncRNA from 1 species
CUCCUUUAGGACCCUCUACUCCAGCACUCUCCGGGUAGACUGGGGAGGCGUCGACAUCGGGGCAGAUGGGGCAGCACUCUCCGAAGGGGAUUUCGGCGUUGGGGCAGUCGGAGGUGUCCUCGCAGAUCACCUCGUCGCAGAGGAUGUUGCCGCUGUCGCAGACGCAGAUCUGGCACGGUUCGGGUUUCCACACAUCCUUAUCGUUGUACGUCAGCCCGUCCUGGACGCAGCUCCCGGUCUGGAUGUCCUCUUCUCCUUGCCCGCGGGUCUUUUUUUUUCCGGGCUGCAACGAAAGGCGGAGAGGAAAAAAAAAGAAAAAGAAAGAAAAGCGGCGGUGGGCGCGCACUGCACGGCCGGCGGUGCGGAGCUGCGCUGGCCGCCGUUCAGCGCUGUAUCUGCGCAUCCGAGACACGUUGCAGCCGAAGGCUCCUCCAAUCCGACCCCGGCGGCUCGCAAAGGGCCUGGCCCCGCUCCAGCCCCGAGAUGUGUCUUUAAUUUUUGCAGCAUGACAGAAAAGAAAAGAAUGUCAUUCGCUCUGCCUC